rnacentral:rRNA from 1 species
UACGGAGGGUGCGAGCGUUAAUCGGAAUUACUGGGCGUAAAGGGUACGCAGGUGGUUGUAUAAGUUAGCUGUAGAAUCCCCGGGCUCAACCUGGGAAUGCCGGCUAAUACUGUAUGACUGGAGUAUGGGAGAGGGCAGUGGAAUUUCCGGUGUAGCGGUGAAAUGCGUAGAUAUCGGAAGGAACACCGGUGGCGAAGGCGGCUGCCUGGCCUAAUACUGACACUGAGGUACGAAAGCGUGGGGAGCAAAC